rnacentral:rRNA from 14 species
GAACCUGGCCAUACCAUCCUGAGUGUGCCCCAUCUCGUCUGAUCUCUGAAGCUAGGCAGGGUCAGCUCUGGUUAGCACGUGGAGAGCUUUCU